AGGGAGAGAAGAGGAGAGAGAGAAGAGGAGGGAGAGAAGAGGAGGGAGAGAAGAGGAGAGAGAGAAGUGGAGGGAGAGAAGAGGAGGCAGAGAAGAAGAGGCAGCGAAAAGGAGGGAGGAUGAGAAAAGAGUAGAUUAGAGAGGAACGUGGAGAAGAGAAAAUAAUAAGGAAGAAGAGCUCUGAGCCCCGGUCUGUAGACUGAGAAGAGAAUUAGCUCUGAGCCCCGGUCUGUAGGCUGAGAAGAGAAUUAGCUCUGAGCCC
ensembl:lncRNA